AAAACAAUACAGGAAGGUUGUUGUAGCAGAGUACAGAUCCUACAUACAGGAAUGUUGUUUGACAGGUCCUACAUACAGGAAUUUGUUGUAUAGAUCCUACAUAACAGGGAAUGUUGUUGUACGAUCCUACAUACAUAAUCCUAGCAUACAGGAAUGUUGUUCAGGAAUGUUUGUUGUACAGAUCCUACAUACAGGAAUGUUGUUGUCUAGAUCCUACAUACCGGAAUGUUGUUGUACAGAUCCUACAGAACAGGAAGAGUUGUUGUACCCGCGUUUUG
rnacentral:lncRNA from 1 species